CAUGACUCUCGGCAAUGGAUAUCUCGGCUCUCGCAUCGAUGAAGAGCGCAGCGAAAUGCGAUACGUGGUGCGAAUUGCAGAAUCCCGCGAACCAUCGAGUCUUUGAACGCAAGUUGCGCCCGAGGCCAACCGGCCAAGGGCACGUCUGCCUGGGCGUCAAUCG
rnacentral:rRNA from 1 species